AUGAACUCUCUGGUGCACAUUAAGACUGCUUUUUCGGGUAAAGUACUUGUCACAUUCACAUCUGUAAGGUUCUUUCUCCUGUAUGAAUUCUCUGAUGUUUUCUAAGAUCACCUUUAAGAGAAAAGCAUUUGUCACAUUCACUACAUUUGUAAGGUUUCUCUCCUGUAUGAACUCUCUGGUGCACAUUAAGACUGCUUUUUCGGGUAAAGUACUUGUCACAUUCACUACAUUUGUAAGGUUUCUCUCCUGUAUGAAUUCUCUGAUGAAUAAUAAGUCUGUAUUUUUCAGUAAAGCAUUUGUCACAUUCACUACAUUUGUAAGGUUUAUUAGCUGAAUGUAUUCUCUGAUGAGUUCUAAGAUGAUAUUUGUUGGUAAAGCAUUUGUUACAUUCACUGCAUUUGUAAGGUUUUUCUCCUAUGUGAAUGCGCUGAUGAACAAUAAGAUGGCUUUUUCGAGUGUAGUAUUUGUCACAUUCACUACAUUUGUAGGGUUUUUCUCCAGCAUGAAUUUUCUGAUGAACAAUAAGAUGGCUUUUUCGAGUGUAGUAUUUGUCACAUUCACUACAUUUGUAAGGUUUCUCUCCUGUAUGAAUUCGUUGAUGAUCUCUAAGAUUGCCUUUCAGGGUAAAAGAUUUGUCACAUUCACUGCAUUUGUAAGGUUUCUCUCCUGUAUGAAUUGUCUGAUGACUUGUAAGACGCCAUUUCUUUGUAAAGCAUUUGUCACACUCACUACAUUUGUAAAGAUUUUCUCCUGUAUGAAUUCUCAGAUGAACUUUAAGACUGCCUUUGUGGGAAAAGCAUUUGUCACAUUCACUACAUUUGUAAGUUUUCUCUCCUGUAUGAAUUAUUUGAUGAAUGAUAAGACUGCAUUUUAGAGUAAAGCCUUUGUCACAUUCACUACAUCUGUAAGGUUUCUCUCCUGCAUGAAUUCUCUGAUGAAUACUAAGACUGCCUUUUUGGGUAAAGCUUUUGUCACAUUCACUACAUUUGUAAGGUUUCUCUCCUGUAUGAAUUCUCUGAUGUUUUCUAAGGUCACCAACUUGAAUGAAGCAUUUCUCACAUUCACUACAUUUGUAAGGUUUCUCUCCUGUAUGAAUUCUCUCAUGUCUUCUAAGAUCACCAACUUGAAUGAAGCAUUUCUCACAUUCACUACAUUUGUAAGGUUUCUUGCCUGUAUGAUACAUCUGAUGAAUACUAAGACUGCCUUUGUGGGAAAAGCAUUUGUCACAUUCACUACAUUUGUAAGGAUUCUCUCCUGUAUGAAUUCUCUGAUGAGUUCUAAGGCUGCUUUUGUAGCUAAAGCAUUUUUCACAUUCAUUACAUUUGUAAGGUUUCUCUCCUUUAUGAAUUCUCUGAUGUUUUCUAAGAUCACCAACUUGAAUGAAGCAUUUCUCACAUUCACUACAUUUGUAAGGUUUCUUUACACUUUUGGUUUGUUUCAAUAUGAGGGUUUCUUUAGAGUCAAAAACCUUAUCAAGCUUUGCACCAUUGUAUUCUUUCUUUCCUAUGUUGAUUCCUUGAUUUAGACUAAUGGUAGAGCACAAAUUGAAACAGUUUACAUGGUUUUUAUCUUUGCAAGGUUCUCUGUUGUUUUCAGUUUCAUGUCUGCUUAGGUUUGAUGAUUCAACAGAUGUAGCCCUGAGGUUAGUUUUAGAAGGUGCACUUCCUGUGGACUCAUGGAUGAUUUUGUCAAGCUCAUGACAUUCAUAAGAUUUCACUUGGGUAUUUGCAUGUUCGUGGACAAUAUGCUGUAGAUCUUGAUUCAACAUGUUCUCAAAUUCAGGACACAUGUAUUGAUUCUCU
rnacentral:lncRNA from 1 species